GCAGCUGGUAAUGUUAAAACGAUGCUGGGGAGGGGGGGGGGGGGGCUAUGUCACCGGCAAAGCUUCACAACUAUUGGCCAAGGUCUAGCUCCUCGGACACGAGCCUGCAUCAGAGCAGACUUGUGCGUUCCUCAGACCCAUCGCUUUCCCAGAAUGUACCGUGGCCGUAGCUUGAUUCUGGACAGCGCAAACAGAGCCCACAGUGGGACCACAGAAGGAACUCAGGCCCUCAUCAACUGGCGUAUUGCCAACGAGGGCCUAUUGACUGGCAGGAGGAACUCCUGCAAAACCGAAUGGCAGACAAGAAGGUAAGAGAUCUUACUGGCAACUGGCUGGCGAUAGGGCAACAGGAGGGUGAUCGGGUACCGGAGGCAUGGGAACCCACCAUCGCAGAGUAGAAAAAAGCCCUCAGGUGGAACAAUUCGCACAUGGCACCCAUCAAUGGCACCGACUGCUCCUUUGAAGGCCUCGUUACCGGCAAGGCGGGCAAAACCAGCCCACACGCUCUCCAAAUCUUGUCUUUUUGGAAGAAAAUAAUUUUUUGAAUGAUCCCCAUCAAGGGAGUUCAUAACGCUGUGCACCACCUGGCACACAAGGGCAAAGAUGUCGGCUGUUGCCCUAUAGCAGUGGUUCCCAACCUUUAUUUCUUGAAGCCCCCCGCUGAAGUCCAAGACAAGCCAAGCCCCCCCAAGCCAUACACAGGCCUGCACAAACGUAUCAAAAGAUUAAAGUGAUUUGUAAUGAACAUUUAUUUAUUUGAAAAAUAAAGAAUACAUGGCAGCUAUGUCAUUUUGUUCUUAUUAUUUUUGAUUAAUAAUGUAUUUUUUAUGUCAACGGGUGUAUAGUGCACAGAAAUUAACUACAAACUCCAAAAAAGAGAGCUAACAUAUAAACUUCAAACCUAAGCUUAACUUUCAUCAGCAUGUCCACAUUUACAAUAUAUUUUCCAGUUCUAAUUUACAAACAUGCAUAAAGUAAAAACUAAAAAAAAACAGUCCCAUGUGAUUAUACACACACAAUUAUUGGCUUAAAAAAUAAAAUUAUACAACAGUUUCAGAAACCAGUACUAAACUUACAACUUUUUUUACUUCUUAUUUGUUCAGUUACUAAUGGGUACCUUGAGCUUGCAUAUUUUUGACCAGGGAUGCGAUGUCAGGUUUGAUUGUUGGGAUAGCCAGUCUAAAGUCCUGGUGAACAUCGAGUCUGUUUCUGACUUUAGUUUUUAUUGUUAAUAGCGCGCUGAAAGCUGCUUCAGACAGGUAUGUAGUGCUAAAGGGGAGAAUAACCCUGGAUGUUGCGUGUUUGGCCAGUGUGGGAGCUACAGCGUGUCCUUUGGCAAUCCAGAACUUUUUAAAUCCUUUUUCCUGGAAAUAUCUUUUGGACACGGAAUCAGCUUGAAGGUCACAAAGCUCAUCUUCACAGCCGAUGUAUUCUACGUCCUUUGGGGUGGAAACGUAGGGGUCCAACACCCACGAUUCUCUGGAUAAAUACUGGUCCAUGUCGGCAAAGCGGCUCUGAAUCUCAUCGCGGAGAAGGUUCAUGUGCCGCAUAAACUCUGUGCGCAAAGACGCACUCACGGCGCCACCAGACUGUUUCAGCAGCAGCGGGAAAUGCUGCAAGUCCCCAUUUGACAUUUUAGUGACUCUGUAUUCCAGUUUGCGCAGAAAAGCGUCCAGGGCAUUUUUGCAAAGCAUGAUGUUCGAUUCUGGCCCCUGCAUCCGCUUGUUUGUUUCAUUGAACAAAGUGAAUGUGUCUGCCAGAUAAGCCGCUUUGAUCCAAAAUGCGUCAGUCAGUUGUUCAAAGAGUGGCCGAUUGUGAUCUUGGAUGAAUUAUUUUAUUUUUUCUUGUAGCUCAAUGAAACGCACAAGCACGAGUCCACGCGACAACCACCUCACCUUGGUGUGUAGCAGCAGUGUUUGAUGCGCUUCGUCCUCGCACAGCUGGGCAAAGUCUUUUAGUAGAAGGGCGAACUUUAAUGAAGUUUACAACUUUAACUACAGUUGAUAGUGUGUCGCUGAGGUCUUCUGAUAGCUUUUUACUAGCCAAUGCCUGGCGAUGCAGCAUGCAUUGGAAAAUCAUGCAUCCAGGAGCCUUUUCUUUCAGGCGGGCGUUAAAGGUAUACUAUGCAACCGGGGUUGAUUUUCCAGCGAGGCUCCCCCCAGAGGGCGAAAGUA